ensembl:lncRNA
UUUCAUGUAAUGUUUGUUUGAAACCGACAGAAAAGUGUGAAAAGGAAAUUGUGAGACCGGUUGGGUGGAAAAUAAUGCCCAACAAACUGCAGUUUGAUCUCCAGAAAAUCAAGAACAAGAAAAUGAAGAAGAAACAGAAAAAGCCAAAAUCCAAAGGGUCAAGAGAUACAAACCCAGUGAAAGCUGUGAGAUGGGACAGCAUGGAGCGUCUGAGACCAGAGUCUGUAGAGUCUCAUUCUGAUGAAUCAGAGAAGGUCCAGGAUGAGAAAACACCAGGACAUUAAACUCCAGAAUGGGACGGGGGUUCAUUCAACUUUCUGGACAACUUUCUUCAGUUUGCUUUUACACAUCUUGCGAGUGCUACAUGGCUGCACAUUUGGAGCUGCGCUUGUGUUCCUGUAGCAAACAUACUGUACAUUUGUUUUUGUAGUUUUCUGUUGCCUGUAUAUUGUUGAGUUGAGUCAAUCUGCUGUUCUUUUUUUUUUUUGACAGCCAGGGAAGUGUCUUAGCUUAAGUGCCAUUUUAUUUUUCAGUAAUUAAUCAAUUACACUUUCUAUUCUAGGAUUGGUUAUGGUCGCCGUGAUUUUGCCAAGUAAGACAUGUUCCUGGAUCAACAUCUUUUGUUGAUCCUGGAUCAACAUUACUGUCCAAAAAUAUAGAAUAAACCCAAUGCAGGGAUCAACACUAACGAUUUUUUUCUACUGGCCCAGUCGGGUCAGUGGUUCAAAUUUUUACUUGCCCUGCCAACAUUUUCACUGGCCCUGCCACCACAAAAAAUAAAAUAGUUGCUGUUAUCAUUGUUUUUGAUCUGUUAUCUUGUAUUCUAAUAAGCUUAUAUGACACCAAUAUUUUAGAUACCAAUUAAAUUUUGUAAUUCUCUAUUUCAAUUUUGUUACCACAGCAAAAAUCACUAGCCAAAAAUAAACAAAGUUUAAACAUUAAAGACAAGUGACAGGCAGUAAAUAAGAACAAAUGAACAAAUUACAAGUAAUAGAACAAUUAAAUAUAGGCCUAUAGCACAAAAAUAGAAAUGAAAUGAUGCUUUAGGUUUUUAUGUUUGUAGAUGUUCAGGUACAGAAAUUGAAAAAUCACAUAAAAUAACAUUUGCAUAUUCUUCACUCCGUUGCACCUUGAUUUUUCAUAGCCAUUAGAGGCAACCACUGCAUUUUAAUCAUGAAUUGAAAAAAAGUUUGAUUUAUAUUAGACUGUAUAAUUUCAAAAUCUGAAGCAAAAACAGAAUAACCUGACUUUAGCUUUAAAUUAUCUGCAUCUGCAGGAAACAGAAACAGCAGGUGGGCUGAAUGAGAUGCAGAUUCACUCUCUGACAGCAGGCGGCACUUGUGGUACAGCGAUACAGCGUUUCCUUGGUUACAGCUUAAAUACAGCAGCGCUGCGCUUAUUAACCAUUAACACUAAUUUAAAUGCAUCAUACAGAGACAAAAUGAAAAGAAAACGCCAUAUCUGAAAAACAGCACACGAGUACUGAAUGUAGUUGUCUUUCACGCCCAAAUGCUUUUUAAUCGCUUGAAAUUUUAAAUUAACAAGUCUUAAAAACACAUGCAAAUGAUAAGUCAUGACGACGCUGCAGUGGCCCGAUCGGGCAAGUGACAAAUCCGUCUACUGUCUCGAACAUCUUUCACGCUUAAACCUAACCCUACCCAUAAUUUAUUCCUAAAAUCAGUGUGAAAUGAUAGCUGAUUAACAAGCGUGUAGAAGCACCUAACCCUGAUCAAAACAGAUAUUUCCUGAAAAGUUAUUCCUCAAUUCUGAUUGGUUAAUUGGAAUGUUGUUCCAGGAUCAACAAGGAUGUUGUAGGCCUACUUGGUGAAAUCACGGUCAUCGAUUGGUUAUAUCAGUUCUUGUUAUACUUGGGACACUUCAUUUCCAGUGAUAUUGUCGACAUGAUUGCACAGAUACUAUUUAAACUGAACUGAGCUGGAUGUUGACAUCACUGAAUUCAAUGAUGAACUGUCUUUAACUGAAAAAUGAGUGUUUACUAUUGUCACUUUGCAUUAUUGACACAUUAUUUUCCUAAUUAAUGCUGUUCAGUUGCUUUGACACAAUCUGUAUUGUUAAAAGCGCUAUAUAAAUAAAGGUGACUUGACGUGACUUAUAACAACUAACUGGGAUUGCUGUAUAGACAAGAUUGCUUAUUGUGACAUCUGGC